rnacentral:rRNA from 1 species
AUGGAGCGUAUGGCCGCCUCGUACUUCAAGGAGGUAUAUACGAAAGAUCCCACUCUAACUCCGGAUGCAGUUCUAGAUGUUCUUGAGCUGAGGGUUACGAAUGAGAUGAAUGACCGUCUCCUCAUGCCUUUCUCUGAUGUUGAAAUAUUUGAUGCUUUGUUUCAAAUCGGACCCUUAAAGGCGCCGGGUCCGGAUGGGUUCCCGUCCCGGUUUUAUCAGAGGAACUGGGGUUGUUUGAAAGAGGAAAUCAUAGCUGUUGUUCGACUGUUUUUUGUCACAGGCCAUAUGCCAAAAGGGGUCAAUGAUACUUGUAUUGUACUGAUUCCCAAAGUUCAACACCCGGUGACGUUGAAGGAUUUCUGUCCUAUCUCUCUGUGCAAUGUGAUAUACAAGAUAGUCUCUAAAUGUAUGGUGAAUAGGCUCAGACCGUGCCUUUUGGAUCUCAUUUCAGAAAAUCAAAGCGCGCUCAUCCUGGGACGCUUAAUCUAA